UACGUAGGGUGCGAGCGUUGUCCGGAAUUAUUGGGCGUAAAGGGCUCGUAGGCGGUUUGUCGCGUCGGGAGUGAAAACACCGGGCUUAACUCGGUGCUUGCUUCCGAUACGGGCAGACUAGAGGUAUUCAGGGGAGAACGGAAUUCCUGGUGUAGCGGUGAAAUGCGCAGAUAUCAGGAGGAACACCGGUGGCGAAGGCGGUUCUCUGGGAAUUACCUGACGCUGAGGAGCGAAAGUGUGGGGAGCGAACAGG
rnacentral:rRNA from 1 species